rnacentral:rRNA from 1 species
GAUGAACGCUGGCGGCGUGCUUAACACAUGCAAGUCGAACGGAAAGGCCAGUGCUUGCGCUGGUACUCGAGUGGCGAACGGGUGAGUAACACGUGGGUGAUCUGCCCUGCACUUCGGGAUAAGCUUGGGAAACUGGGUCUAAUACCGGAUAGGACCAUUGGUUGGUGCCUUUGGUGGAAAGUUUUUCGGUGUGGGAUGAGCUCGCGGCCUAUCAGCUUGUUGGUGGGUAAUGGCCUACCAAGGCGUCGACGGGUAGCCGGCCUGAGAGGGUGUACGGCCACAUUGGGACUGAGAUACGGCCCAGACUCCUACGGGAGGCAGCAGUGGGGAAUAUUGCACAAUGGGCGCAAGCCUGAUGCAGCGACGCCGCGUGGGGGAUGACGGCCUUCGGGUU